rnacentral:rRNA from 1 species
AAUCAACGCUGGCGGCGUGCCUCAGACGUGCAAGUCGAACGAUUAAAGCUCUCUUCGGAGAGUGUAUAGAGUGGCGCACGGGUGAGUAACACGUAAGUAAUCUACCUUCGAGUGGGAAGUAACAUCGGGAACCGGAUGCUAAUACCGCAUAAUGCAGCGGCAUCGCAAGAUGACAGUUGUUAAAGGAAUUUAUUUCGCUUGAAGAGGAGCUUGCGGCAGAUUAGCUAGUUGGUAAGGUAAUGGCUUACCAAGGCUACGAUCUGUAACCGGUCUAAGAGGACGGUCGGUCACACUGACACUGAAUAACGGGUCAGACUCCUACGGGGAGGCAGCAGUCGGGAAUUUUGGCAAUGGGCGAAAGCCUGACGCAGCGACGCCGCGUGAGGGGA